GACGAACGCUGGCGGCGUGCUUAACACAUGCAAGUCGAGCGGAAAGGCCACUUCGGUGGUACUCGAGCGGCGAACGGGUGAGUAACACGUGAGUAAUCUGCCCCUGGCUUUGGGAUAGCCACCGGAAACGGUGAUUAAUACCGGAUACGACCACUUCUCGCAUGGGAUGGUGGUGGAAAGUUUUUACGGCCAGGGAUGUGCUCGCGGCCUAUCAGCUUGAUGGUGAGGUAAUGGCUCACCAUGGCUUUGACGGGGAGCCGGCCUGAGAGGGUGACCGGUCACACUGGGACUGAGACACGGCCCAGACUCCUACGGGAGGCAGCAGUGGGGAAUAUUGGACAAUGGGCGGAAGCCUGAUCCAGCAACGCCGCGUGAGGGAUGACGGCCUUCGGGUUGUAAACCUCUUUCAGCAGGGACGAAGCGCAAGUGACGGUACCUGCAGAAGAAGCACCGGCCAACUACGUGCCAGCCGCCGCCGUAA
rnacentral:rRNA from 1 species